rnacentral:rRNA from 1 species
AUUGAACGCUGGCGGCCGGCCUAACACAUGCAAGUCGAACGAGUGGCGGACGGGUGAGUAAUGUCUGGGAAACUGCCCGAUGGAGGGGGAUAACUACUGGAAACGGUAGCUAAUACCGCAUACCAUCGGAUGUGCCCAGAUGGGAUAAGCUAGUAGGUGGGGUAACGGCUCACCUAGGCGACGCUCCCUCGCUGGUCUGAGAGGCUGACCAGCCACACUGGGACCGAGACACGGUCCAGACUCCUACGGUAGGCAGCAGUGGGGAAGAUUGCACAAUGGGCGCAAGCCGGAUGCAGCCAUGCAGCGUGUAUGAAGAAGGCCUUCGGGUUGUAAAGUACUUUCAGCGAGGAGGCGUUACUCGCAGAAGAAGCACCGACUAGCUCCGUGCCAGCAGCCGCGGUAAUUC